rnacentral:lncRNA from 1 species
UAUCAGGAGUGGCAUCAGUGUCUGUUGAAUCAGGCACAGCCGUGUGGCAUGGGAGUGCUGCCCUUCAGGUGCCAGAACACAGGUGUGCGGGGACACCUGAGCUGCCCUGGGAUCCCACCUGGCCCCUCCCUGCUGAUCCCGGAGGACACCGAUUCCCCAAAGGGCCUUGGCUGGUGCUGCCAGCCCUGCAGAGGUACCCCAGCUACCCAAAGCAUUUCCAGUGGCACAGAGGUGCAGCUACUCCUAAGAGGGCAACGGAUUUGUUUGCAAGCAACUGGAAAUUUGAAAGAUGUCAGGAGUGCCCUGAACUAUCGGGAUAUUUGUGAUGUUCAUCUGGAAAGGGCUGGAUUCCAGCACUCUCCCAGCACCUCCAGCAGUGUCAUGGCUGUGCAGGUACUGGAAAUCCUGUGCUUGGCAGGGACCAUGUGCAGAAUCCCAGAAGGGGCCGAGCACUCUCCUUUAUUGCCUUCCGGGAGUUUCGGGUCACCGAGGACCAGGCAGAGCUGAACCCUUUAGCAGAUAUAAUAAUGAUUUUUUUAUUUUUCUUUUUAAAUUAUGGAGUCAAAAGAAGUAGCAACACAUGUGCUGGCUCCAAUAUUUCCAUUUCAAUCCAGCUGAGCUUCUGAGGGUGUUGAGAGCGUGGCCUCUUUUGGACCUUGGAAUUAAAAAGAGUAUCCGAAUAAAGCUUCCUUUUAUUAGAGAAGAGAAGCA